UACGGGAGGCAGCAGUGGGGAAUAUUGCACAAUGGGCGAAAGCCUGAUGCAGCUAUGCCGCGUGUAUGAAGAAGGCCUUAGGGUUGUAAAGUACUUUCAUCGGGGAGGAAAAACAAAACUAAUAAUUUUAUUUCUUGACGUUACCCGAAAAAGAAGCACCGGCUAACUCCGUGCCAGCAGCCGCGGUAAUACGGAGGGUGCGAGCGUUAAUCGGAAUUACUGGGCGUAAAGGGCACGCAGGCGGUUAAUUAAGUUGGAUGUGAAAUCCCCGGGCUUAACCUGGGAAUGGCAUUCAAGACUGGUUAGCUAGAGUCUUGUAGAGGGGGUAGAAUUCCAUGUGUAGCGGUGAAAUGCGUAGAGAUGUGGAGGAAUACCGGUGGCGAAGGCGGCCCCUGGACAAAGACUGACGCUCAUGUGCGAAAGCGUGGGGAGCAAACAGGGAUUAGAUACC
rnacentral:rRNA from 1 species